GUGCAGGAGAGGAGAAUGGAAUUCCUAGUGUAGCGGUGAAAUGUGUAGAGAUUAGGAAGAACACCAGUGGCGAAGGCGAUUCUCUGGACUGUAACUGACGCUGAGGCUAGAAAGCGUGGGGAGCAAACAGGAUUAGAUACCAUGGUAGUGCACGCCGUAAACGAUGAAUACUAGGUGUAGGGGUUGUCAUGACCUCUGUGCUGCCGCUAACGCAUUAAGUAUUCCGCCUGGGGAGUACGGUCGCAAGAUUAAAACUCAAAGGAAUUGACGGGGGCCCGCGCAAGCAGCGGAGCAUGUGGUUUAAUUUGAAGCAACGCGAAGAACUUUACCUAGACUUGACAUCUCCUGCAUUACCCUUAAUCGGGGAAGUUCCUUCGGGAACAGGAAGACAGGUGGUGCAUGGUUGUCGUCAGCUCGUGUCGUGAGAUGUUGGGUUAAGUCCCGCAAUGAGCGCAACCCUUAUUGUUAGUUGUUACCAUUUAGUUGAGCACUCUAGCGAGAUUGCCCGGGUUAACCGGGAGGAAGGUGGGGAUGACGUCAAAUCAUCAUGCCCCUUAUGUUUUGGGAUACACACGUGAUACAAUGGCAAGUACAAAGAGAAGCAAGACCGUGAGGUGGAGCAAAACUCAAAAAUUUGUCUCAGUUCGGAUUGUAGGCUGAAACUCAGCCUACAUGAAGCUGGAGUUGUUAGUAAUCGUGAAUCAGCAUGUCGCGGUGAAUACGUUCCCGGGCCUUGUACACACCGCCCGUCACACCAUGAGAGUUGGCAAUACCCAAAGUGCGUGAUGUGACUCGCAAGAGAGGAAGCGCCCUAAGGUAGGGUCAG
rnacentral:rRNA from 1 species